rnacentral:rRNA from 1 species
UGAGGAAUAUUGGUCAAUGGGCGAGAGCCUGAACCAGCCAAGUAGCGUGCAGGACGACGGCCCUAUGGGUUGUAAACUGCUUUUAUAAGGGAAUAAAGUGAGUCUCGUGAGGCUUUUUGCAUGUACCUUAUGAAUAAGGACCGGCUAAUUCCGUGCCAGCAGCCGCGGUAAUACGGAAGGUCCGGGCGUUAUCCGGAUUUAUUGGGUUUAAAGGGAGCGUAGGCCGGAGAUUAAGCGUGUUGUGAAAUGUAGGCGCCCAACGUCUGCACCGCAGCGCGAACUGGUGCCCUUGAGUACGCACGACGUUGGCGGAAUUCGCCGUGUAGCGGUGAAAUGCUUAGAUAUGGCGAAGAACUCCGAUUGCGAAGGCAGCUGACGGGAGCGCUACUGACGCUCAUGCUCGAAAGCGCGGGUAUCGAACAGGAUUAGAUACCCUGGUAGU